UGACGGUAUCUAACCAGCAAGUCACGGCUAACUACGUGCCAGCAGCCGCGGUAAUACGUAGGUGGCAAGCGUUAUCCGGAUUUAUUGGGCGUAAAGGGAACGCAGGCGGUUUUUUAAGUCUGAUGUGAAAGCCUUCGGCUUAACCAGAGAAUAGCAUUGGAAACUGGAAGACUUGAGUGCAGAAGAGGAGAGUGGAACUCCAUGUGUAGCGGUGAAAUGCGUAGAUAUUAGGAGGAACACCGGUGGCGAAGGCGGCUUACUGGACUGAAACUGACACUGAGGCACGAAAGCGUGGGGAGCAAACAGGAUUAGAUACCCUG
rnacentral:rRNA from 1 species